CCCGAUGCCCGAAGGUGCCGCCGGCCGCUCGCCCGGGGGGACAGCGGCGCGCCCCGCUCUCCCCGCACACACCCGUGGCGGCUCCGCUGGCUCCUCACAGCCCCCAGCCCCUGGACAGCUCUGUCCGCGGCCACAAGGUUAUAAAUGUUGGUGAAAUUUCAGCUCAUUCAAAAUCAGCAGCAGAGCUGUUUUCAGUGGGACAAGGGACUGAGCAAAAGAGGAUAGAGGCUGGGGAAACAGCUGAUUGUGAGUUUAUUUGGAAUUAGCAGAAUUGUGUUUAGAGGCAGAGGGCCCAGAACAUGUUUUGGCAAAGGAAAAGGGAGAGAAAAAGACUUAAAUUCUUAGAGUGUGUGGAUACAUUUCAUUAGAAGAUGAACAUGAGAAGUCUGAGAAACAGACAUGGCACUACUUCGUGGAAAAAUAAGAGGCAAAGCUUGAUGCAGGAAGAACUUCGAAAUAUUUGGUAGAGCCACAUGUGACUGAUCAAAAUAUUCACCCUAAGCACACAAAACAAGAGUGUUAAGAUUUGACAGAUAUGGGACUCACCUUCAGCAGAAUGUGGCUUUAACAGAACUUGGGAGACCCUUCCAGAGGAAGGUGAUUUGUUCACAAAGCACGAUCACUUUGGAGACCUUGAUCCAAUUUCUACAAUAAAUGAACACAGCCAAGAUUGUUUUAUAAGCAGAUCCUCAGUGAAAGUGUGCAGCACAACUUCAAGUGGAGUUCAAGUUAACACAUCUGCUUAACUGUUAAGGCUUAACAGGUUUUACUGCAUACUUAAAUUUACAUUGAACUUAUGCUUCAUAUCAAACUCAAUUGAAAGAUCUUGGGGAUGUACUGAAUAUCGUUUGUGUUGCUUCCCCGUGGAUGCUUGCCAUCAGAAGAUGGAACCUGUGGUGGUGAAUCAGACAAAGAAGUGGAUAAUUUCACUCAAGCAUCAUGGACCUUAAAGGCGAUGCUGAACUCCAAUGAAGGACCACUGGCUUGAGCAAGUGCAUGACAAUUCUUGGGAUGCCUGUGCUGAAAGACUUCUCUUAAUGGACCUUGAUGGGGUUUGAUUUCAUUUGUUCCAGAAUGGGAUUGCCCUUCUUGCUGUUGCUGCAGGCUCAUGAUCUGGACCCAGCCCUAGGACUCGAGCAGGACUGAGGGACACAUGCAAGUGGUAAGAAGCUGGAUCAUCUUUCUUCAUCUGCUCGCUGCCUUCACAGAAUUUGCAAGUGUGACAAAGUAUUUCAUCCCUUCACAGGAUUAGGGAUACGGAUUUGCCUCUCCCCGAGGUGCUGCUGGCUGGUUCACUGCCUGCUGGAGGGUGUCUCUCAGAUCUGACUUAACCUGAAGCAUGCACUUCCUCAGGAGGUCUGCAGCAGGGCUGGAGGAGAGCAAACACUGCAUCCCUUCCCUCCUGUCAGCUGCUGCCUCACAACUGCAGUGUCUGUGCUGUGCUCUCAGCUCCCUCACUCUGAAAUGUUCCUCGUGGUGGUUUGUACAGAGCUGCCUUGGAGCAGGCUUUGCUUUUGGUGGCAGUAUCCCUUGUUGCCAUGCCAUUAAUGAAGAUGGUUUUAGCCUUGCCUUUAUUCCACUGGGACCAGCUCCUCUACCCACAGGCACCAAAAGUGGCAAAUCUUCAUAACCUUUUUUAAUUUUCAGUUGAAGCUCUACAUCACAUGAACUUCUUGGGGUUUUUUGAGAGUGCAAAGCGUGAGCAGCAGGAGCUCAAGGUCAAGAGGAGCAGGUUUUCUCCUCUGCAUGGCAUUGCAUCAUCAGUACUGCAGUGUAACUCACUCUGGAAGCUUGAUUUAUUGUUUUGGAUUUGUAGCUGGUGAAAAGGAAGUUAAAAAUAAUUUCCAAAACCUGAUCUCUAGCAGAUGGAGGUCUUGCAGAAAAACAGUCAGUUUGACAGUUGUACAGGCAAGGAAAAAUCCUUUGGGACCAGAGAAGUCUUUAGAGAAUGGAGAAAGCAUGAAUGUGUUCCAAGACAAAUGCACUACUUCAAUUCCAGUGACUUGGACAUGAGUAACCAUUGGGAGUCGUCCUGUUUCCAUUCUGCAAAGCUGCAGUUGCAUGAUGUCAGCUGGAAAGCUGCAGAAGCUCAGAGUGGUGUGUGCAGCUGCUCAGCCCUCUGGGCACAGCCUGCCCCUCUGUCUGCAUGGGGCACACAUAAACUGGGCCUGGUUUUAGGUCCCUGCCUGAGGACUGCUGACCCUGACCUUACCUGCAAUGUUCCUGAUGUUGGGAAAAUGUCAGUCCCCUUUAACUUUCUCAUCAGCACAUCAGCUCCUGUCUUUGUGGCCAUGGAUCCCAAGUUCCUUGUGAAGGAGAGCACCCAGCCUAUGCAAGGUGGUCCUGCACUUCUGAAUUCAUGGCAUGGUGAAUGAUGUUUUGGAAGUCAGAUCGUCAGAUACUGUUGGAAACAUCUACACAUGAGCUGCUUAAUAUAGUUCAUUAUAUUGGAGUGUCUGCAUGAAAGAGGCAGGAGAAAAGGGUUGCCCACAAACAUUAUCAGUACAAAUCAGCAUGUUAUUAAUGCAGCCAAAGGUAUGGUCUGUUUCUACACCCACCCUUUAAUGCAUGUGAACGUGCUUAAUUCUGUGAGAACUUGCAAAGCCAGAAGCUAUAUGAACUUGGCUGUCACACACUUCUUAAAGCAUUAUUUCUCCUUUUGCCUCUUAGAGACCCCUCUAAUGCCAAAUGGCCCAAGAACUUCAAAGACAUACCACAAUUUAAAUCUGUCCUUCAUGCUUUUGCUUCCUUCAGCAUCUAACUGUGGCAAGGGCAGCUUCUCACUGGCUCUAGGGGCUCUCUCUUCAGACUUUUAAAUGUAAGUGAAUUAUAACAGUUCACAUUACCUGGUCCAGCUGCACUAGAAAUGGGCAUCUUGACUCGUUAGAAAAACAAGCAUCUCUCUUCCACUGGGUCUAAACUCCUCAUUAGCUUUGAAAUAUUUCACUCUGCUCCCACUCCUCAAGUUACAGCUUCUUUGGCCAAGUUCAUUAGUUCUUAUUUCCAGAAACUGCUGUAUCUCACAGAGCUUCUGAACUGGUUACAAGGUGAUUAAUACAGGUGAGGUACCUGUUCUAAUUUUAAUGUAACUGGCAUAAAUUACUUUCUGAAGUUGCGUUUUCUUCAAGAGAUGGAAGUGCAGAGCAUUGAUGUGCCAUCUUGGAGCAUUUAUAGGAUGAGGGUCCUGAAUUUUCUCUCUGCAUGCUUAAUUUUGUGUAAGCUUUGCCUCUUUCUUUUGAAGAGUUGCUGUAACUACCAACUUAACUACUGUAGUAACACUGGGAACACAAAAUAAUGAAAAACAGAAAUGCAAUUUAGCUAGAAACCCCUAAAUGCAUUAUUCUCAUGUUUUAACCUAGCUGACUGAGUUAAGAGGGCAAGUGUGGAAGCAACACUUCCUGGCUGUCCCAGUGUGCUGUUCCUUCCCUUGCUGGCCAGCAGCAGGCAAUAGUGUCCUGUCAUGUUCAUGUCCAGGUGUUAGUGGUCUCUAACCUGGACUGCUAAUGGAUGGAAUUAGCUCUGAAUGUGUGAAAUAAACUCAACCAAUGGAAAGGAAAAA